rnacentral:rRNA from 1 species
CCCGGGGGGCAGCUUACCAUGCAGUCGACGGCAGCACGGACUUCGGUCUGGUGGCGAGUCGGCGAACUGAGGUGAGUAAUGUAUCGGAACGUGCCCAGUAGCGGGGGAUAACUACGCGAAAGCGUAGCUAAUACCGCAUACGCCCUACGGGGGAAAGCAGGGGAUCGCAAGACCUUGCACUAUUGGAGCGGCCGAUAUCGGAUUAGCUAGUUGGUGGGGUAACGGCUCACCAAGGCGACGAUCCGUAGCUGGUUUGAGAGGACGACCAGCCACACUGGGACUGAGACACGGCCCAGACUCCUACGGGAGGCAGCAGUGGGGAAUUUUGGACAAUGGGGGAAACCCUGAUCCAGCCAUCCCGCGUGUGCGAUGAAGGCCUUCGGGUUGUAAAGCACUUUUGGCAGGAAAGAAACGUCGCGGGUUAAUACCUCGCGAAACUGACGGUACCUGCAGAAUAAGCACCGGCUAACUACGUGCCAGCAGCGGCGCGGUAAUA